rnacentral:lncRNA from 1 species
GCGCAUCUGUUCGCUCUAUGCGACGCCCGUCG